GAAGGCAGGCAGGGACACACAGAACAUCUUUCCGCGAGCUUGAAGAAUUUUUGGAUGGGAGCCAGUUCUGCUUCCCCAGCCGAGCUUCUGCUACUUGCUGGGGAACAUUCUGCUUCAGGAGACCAGAGAUUCCUGUAGGACGGACCCCUGAAGUCUGCCUACAUUAGAAUCAUCUGCAUUGCUGGUUGAAAUGCAGACCCCCAGGCCCCAACCUAUGGAAACAGAAUUUCUCAAGGUGGGGUAAGGAUUCAUAGGCCACCGUCCUUGAGAACUGCAAAGAUAAAAAUCACCAUGAUCGGAUGCCCUCGGGACAGUCUUAAAUUCCAGGGUCCUUGAAGAAUUAUGAUAUCGACCAGAGGUCAGCAAACUACAGCCGUCGGGCUGUAUUUGGCCACCAAUGGUUUCUUACAGAGGUUUUACUGGAACACAGCAAUGUUCCAUUUUGUCUUUGGCUGCUUUGACCCCCCAACAGCAGGGUUGAGUAGUUGCCGCGGAGGCUGGAUGGCCUGCAAAGUCUAAAAUAUUUACUACCUGGCCCUUUGGGGAAAAGGGGGCUAUUUCCAACGCAGACCAAGGGCUUUCAAUGACUUCUGUAGACCAAAGUCAUCUAGGGAUUUUUUUUUUUUUUUAAAAAUACUACUUCCCCAGACCAGUUCUCCAAGAUGUUGUAUCAGUGGGCCUGGGGAAGGGAUGGGUGUAGGAAGCGUUUAAAAGGCUGUUCCAGGAUGAGGACCACUGCCGGAGAGGACACUGGCCAGGUUUGGAUCCGGCCUGAGAAGAACUGGCUUCCUCAUUCCCACCUCCCCCCAGCUGAGCGUCCCCGGGCAGACUCUACAACAGGCAUGAAUCUCAGCUCCCUUUAUAAAGCAGAGGCAUCAAUGGUGGCCUUGUUGGCCAAGGUGUUAUGAAGGUGGGGACCACGCACGCACUCCUCCCAAGACAGGGCUUAGCACCCAGUCACCCGAACGGGUGAUAAGCAAGAUGAGAAUGACACGAACGGGUGGCGGACAAUGGCCACGGCUUCAACGGCACAAGCGGACGCACAUUGAUUAAGCACCAGCUUUGUGCUCUGGAAGGGGAAACUGAGGUAAACAGAUUGAGAGGACCACCUGACCAGCUCACCUCGAGUAAGACAAACAGAUGCGUACAAAGACAUUGACAGCAACAGAAGAAAAAUGAGCAGUGCAGGCAGACAAGGCACAGAGAAAUUCUAAGCUCCACAAGACGGACACGCACAUGUUCAACCUUGAAACCCCACAGCAACCUUCCUACAUUCCAGACCUGUGCCAUAGCUGGAAGAAACCGAACUGAGACCCAACUGCAAAGAAGCUCGCAGACUAGUCAGCCAAGAGGACGGAAACAGAGACCGAUGUAAUUACACAGCAGAGCGGACAACGUUCACAAAGAACAUGGAGACGGGAACCCAGACUGGGGUCGAUUCUGGAUGCGAUGCUGAAUAAUUCUCAUGACCCUGAAAAAGCAUGUGCCCGCAUAGAAGCUGACAGAUCAGAGCAGCAGAGGAGAAAGAUAAGAGUAACCAGAUCACUGGAGACAUCCCUGAGCUACUGAAGUGUCCAACCUUGAAGCCACCCUACCUUCCCAACUUCUUGUUAUGCACAAUAAUACAUUGCUCUGAUUGUGUAAGCUAAUGGAAUCAGAGCUCCUGGCUGUGUGUAGCUAAAAGCAUGCUUUAUGAUGAAGCUCUCAUCUACUGGUUUUUGAAAUGAAAGAAGUGGUCUUGGUUGUCAAUGUGAGGAGAAAUGCGGGA